rnacentral:rRNA from 1 species
UACGUAGGGUGCGAGCGUUGUCCGGAAUUAUUGGGCGUAAAGAGCUCGUAGGCGGUCUGUCGCGUCGGUCGUGAAAACUUGGGGCUUAACCCUGAGCUUGCGGUCGAUACGGGCAUGACUGGAGUUCGGUAGGGGAGAUCGGAAUUCCUGGUGUAGCGGUGAAAUGCGCAGAUAUCAGGAGGAACACCGGUGGCGAAGGCGGAUCUCUGGGCCAUUACUGACGCUGAGGAGCGAAAGCGUGGGGAGCGAACAGG